rnacentral:rRNA from 1 species
UACGUAGGGAGCGAGCGUUGUCCGGAUUCAUUGGGCGUAAAGAGCUCGUAGGCGGCUUGGCAAGUCGGGUGUGAAAACUCCAGGCUCAACCUGGAGACGCCACCCGAUACUGCCAUGGCUAGAGUCCGGUAGGGGACCACGGAAUUCCUGGUGUAGCGGUGAAAUGCGCAGAUAUCAGGAGGAACACCGGUGGCGAAGGCGGGUCUCUGGGCAACAACUGACGCUGAGGAGCGAAAGCGUGGGGAGCGAACAGG